UGCCAGACUCCUACGGGAGGCGGCAGUGAGGAAUAUUGGUCAAUGGUCGGGAGACUGAACCAGCCAAGCCGCGUGAGGGAUGAAGGUACAGAGUAUCGUAAACCUCUUUUGUCAGGGAACAAAGGCGGGGACGUGUCCCCGGAUGAGUGUACCUGAAGAAAAAGCAUCGGCUAACUACGUGCCAGCAGCCGCGGUAAUACGUAGGUGGCAAGCGUUGUCCGGAUUUACUGGGUGUAAAGGGCGUGUAGCCGGGCUGACAAGUCAGAUGUGAAAUCCGGGGGCCCAACCCCCGAACUGCAUUUGAAACUGUUGGUCUUGAGUAUCGGAGAGGCAGGCGGAAUUCCUAGUGUAGCGGUGAAAUGCGUAGAUAUUAGGAGGAACACCAGUGGCGAAGGCGGCCUGCUGGACGACAACUGACGGUGAGGCGCGAAAGCGUGGGGAGCAAACAGGAUUAGAUACCCCAGUA
rnacentral:rRNA from 1 species